UACGUAGGGUGCAAGCGUUAAUCGGAAUUACUGGGCGUAAAGCGUGCGCAGGCGGUUUUGUAAGUCUGUCGUGAAAGCCCCGGGCUCAACCUGGGAAUUGCGAUGGAGACUGCAAGGCUUGAAUCUGGCAGAGGGGGGUAGAAUUCCACGUGUAGCAGUGAAAUGCCUAGAGAUGUGGAGGAACACCGAUGGCGAAGGCAGCCCCCUGGGUCAAGAUUGACGCUCAUGCACGAAAGCGUGGGGAGCAAACAGG
rnacentral:rRNA from 1 species